UACGUAGGGUGCGAGCGUUGUCCGGAAUUAUUGGGCGUAAAGGGCUCGUAGGCGGUCUGUUGCGUCGGGAGUGAAAAUUCACAGCUUAACUGUGAACUUGCUUCCGAUACGGGCAGACUUGAGGUAUUCAGGGGAGAACGGAAUUCCUGGUGUAGCGGUGAAAUGCGCAGAUAUCAGGAGGAACACCGGUGGCGAAGGCGGUUACCUGGACCGGUUCUGACGCUGAUGCGCGAAAGCGUGGGUAGCAAACAGG
rnacentral:rRNA from 1 species